GAGGGUUUAGCUCAGUGGUAGAGCUGCUAUUUAGCAGGCACGAGGUCCUGGGUUCAAUUCCCAGUACCUCCA
rnacentral:tRNA from 1 species